rnacentral:rRNA from 1 species
GUAGGUGGCAAGCGUUGUCCGGAAUUAUUGGGCGUAACGCGCGCGCAGGCGGUUCUCUAAGUCUGAUGUGAAAGCCCACGGCUCAACCGUGGAGGGUCAUUGGAAACUGGAGAACUUGAGUACAGAAGAGGAAAGCGGAAUUCCACGUGUAGCGGUGAAAUGCGUAGAGAUGUGGAGGAACACCAGUGGCGAAGGCGGCUUUCUGGUCUGUAACUGACGCUGAGGCGCGAAAGCGUGGGGAGCAAACAGGAUUAGAUACCCUGGUAGUCCACGCCGUAAACGAUGAGUGCUAAGUGUUAGGGGGGUUUCCGCCCCCCUUAGUGCUGCAGCUAACGCAUUAAGCACUCCGCCUGGGAGUACGGCCGCAAGGCUG